rfam:Erwinia billingiae strain Eb661 complete chromosome.
GAAUUGAUUAACGCUCGUCUCAGACGAGCCUUACGGAAG